rnacentral:rRNA from 1 species
UACGUAGGGGGCUAGCGUUGUCCGGAAUCAUUGGGCGUAAAGCGCGUGUAGGCGGUCCGGUAAGUCCGCUGUGAAAGUCGAGGGCUCAACCCUCGAAUGCCGGUGGAUACUGUCGGGCUUGAGUACGGGAGAGGCGAGUGGAAUUCCUGGUGUAGCGGUGAAAUGCGCAGAUAUCAGGAGGAACACCGAUUGCGAAGGCAGCUCGCUGGGACGUUACUGACGCUGAGACGCGAAAGCGUGGGAGCAAACAGG